UAACAGGUCUUCGGAUGCUGACGAGUGGCGAACGGGUGAGUAAUACAUCGGAACGUGCCCGAGAGUGGGGGAUAACGAAGCGAAAGCUUUGCUAAUACCGCAUACGAUCUCAGGAUGAAAGCAGGGGACCGCAAGGCCUUGCGCUCACGGAGCGGCCGAUGGCAGAUUAGGUAGUUGGUGGGAUAAAAGCUUACCAAGCCGACGAUCUGUAGCUGGUCUGAGAGGACGACCAGCCACACUGGGACUGAGACACGGCCCAGACUCCUACGGGAGGCAGCAGUGGGGAAUUUUGGACAAUGGGCGCAAGCCUGAUCCAGCCAUGCCGCGUGCAGGAUGAAGGCCUUCGGGUUGUAAACUGCUUUUGUACGGAACGAAAAGACUCUGGUUAAUACCUGGGGUCCAUGACGGUACCGUAAGAAUAAGCACCGGCUAACUACGUGCCAGCAGCCGCGGUAAUACGUAGGGUGCGAGCGUUAAUCGGAAUUACUGGGCGUAAAGCGUGCGCAGGCGGUUAUGUAAGACAGAUGUGAAAUCCCCGGGCUCAACCUGGGAACUGCAUUUGUGACUGCAUAGCUAGAGUACGGCAGAGGGGGAUGGAAUUCCGCGUGUAGCAGUGAAAUGCGUAGAUAUGCGGAGGAACACCGAUGGCGAAGGCAAUCCCCUGGGCCUGUACUGACGCUCAUGCACGAAAGCGUGGGGAGCAAAC
rnacentral:rRNA from 1 species